rnacentral:rRNA from 1 species
AGUGAACGCUGGCGGUAGGCCUAACACAUGCAAGUCGAACGGCAGCACAGUAAGAGCUUGCUCUUACGGGUGGCGAGUGGCGGACGGGUGAGGAAUACAUCGGAAUCUACUUUUUCGUGGGGGAUAACGUAGGGAAACUUACGCUAAUACCGCAUACGACCUACGGGUGAAAGCAGGGGAUCUUCGGACCUUGCGCGAUUGAAUGAGCCGAUGUCGGAUUAGCUAGUUGGCGGGGUAAAGGCCCACCAAGGCGACGAUCCGUAGCUGGUCUGAGAGGAUGAUCAGCCACACUGGAACUGAGACACGGUCCAGACUCCUACGGGAGGCAGCAGUGGGGAAUAUUGGACAAUGGGCGAAAGCCUGAUGCAGCAACACCGCGUGGGUGAAGAAGGCUUUCGGGUUGUAAAGCCCUUUUGUUGGGAAAGAAAAGCAGCAGGUUAAAACCCCGCUGUUCUGACGGUACCCAACGAAUAAGCACCGGCUAACUUCGUG